GUGGGGAAUUUUGGACAAUGGGGGAAACCCUGAUCCAGCCAUCCCGCGUGUGCGAUGAAGGCCUUAGGGUUGUAAAGCUCUUUCGCCGACGAAGAUAAUGACGGUAGUCGGAGAAGAAGCCCCGGCUAACUUCGUGCCAGCAGCCGCGGUAAUACGAAGGGGGCUAGCGUUGUUCGGAAUCACUGGGCGUAAAGCGCACGUAGGCGGACAUUUAAGUCAGGGGUGAAAGCCUGGUGCUCAACUCCAGAACUGCCCUUGAUACUGGGUGUCUCGAGUCCGGAAGAGGUAAGUGGAACUGCGAGUGUAGAGGUGAAAUUCGUAGAUAUUCGCAAGAACACCAGUGGCGAAGGCGGCUUACUGGUCCGGUACUGACGCUGAGGUGCGAAAGCGUGGGGAGCAAACAGGAUUAGAAACCCCGGUAGUCC
rnacentral:rRNA from 1 species